UAGGUGUAGGUGUGCACAAGAAAGUUUGGUUUUCUAGGACGUCUGUCCAGAGGCGACUCACUA
rnacentral:tRNA from 1 species